UUCCUACAGACUGGGAACCCCUGGGUGGAGAAACGGCCUUCCACCUUGGUAUUCUGACCACGGCUCACAUCCAGGUCCACACGUACUACCUGUGAUACCCUGUGCACGUCCCUUAACUUCUCUACCUGGAUUUCCAAUUCCAUAAGAUGGGGAUGAUAGGUAACACCCAACUCCACGAGCUAUCACCAGUACUAAAUGAGCUAACCCACGUCACGUGCUGUAAAGUUAACCCAAGAAAAGUGCCUGGCACAUACAGCAAGCACUGAAGACUUGCUAUCAUGAGUUAUCACUGUUCCACAUGGAACAGAAGAGAUGUUCAAUACCUAUUUGCUGGAUAACUGGAGCACAUCACAAUGAACCCGCUUCGUAGCAUGUCGGGGCUAAGGACUAACCCACCACGGGUAUCAAAAGCCAGCAGAAGAUAAUGAGAGAAAUGGCUCCCACGGUCAAAGUAACAGCUGAACUUAACUGGCCCGAGGACAAGCGCACUGCAGCAGGAUGAGAAAGUCGGUGCCAGCUGGAUCUGCCGAGGCUGCCCACAGACCGGCCUGCCCUCGGCCACCUGUCCGGCCACCUGUCCAGCCACCUGCCUGAGGAAGACGAAUUCUAACAGGGAGGGCUCACCUACAGCAAAAACCGUAAGCAGUUUUCCACGGGAACCGCAAUGGGAAAACAAAGGGUGCAACUUUCCUCGUGCAGAAAGGAAACGCGUCUUUCUGCAGCUAAUAGUUGGCGUCUAGAGUUCUCCACGGAGAUCUAGGUGCCAAGCAGGUGCACAGCCGGGGAAAACCCCGUCUCCGCUUCCCCGAGGAGAGAGGGAGGGACGGUCACCAAACGGGCAUCCCUUCCCUUUCGGGCACGAAAACGCACCCGAGUGAAGGGACGAGCCUCCACACCGGUAUCCACUGGAUUUAUAAGGAGACCACAGAAUGUAAGUGACCUUAAGGAGACCCCGGACCUGCAUUGUGCCGCCAGCAUCUAAAGCGGAGUCUGGUUUUUGUAGUUACUUGCACGAUAAACAGUUGGGCAGUGGAUGAAUGCAGGAGAGAAAGAAGUUACUUGGAUGGACCUCUGGGAUGCCAGAACACGACGCCAUCUGAGAAAGCUCCUGGAGAAAAUGAUGUUUAAGGGAAAUGCCAGCAGGAGUUAUCUCUAACUAAUGCUUUCUGCCUCCCUAGUAAAGUACUGGUGCAACCCUCAGUGGUGAGCCAGGAAGAGCGAAGUGAUGCUAAACAACUCCAGAUGGUUUCUCGGGAGCCCCGUGCUGAUGGCAAGCCACUGCUCUUGUGCCUCGUGCCCACCUGGAAGCCAGCCCUGAGAGGGAAGUGUCUGUGUGGGCUGCUAACCACAGGAAGCCUACGGAGAGGCUGACUCAUCAAAACAUCCCCUGGGCAAGAAGCCUCCAGGACCCCCUCAGUGCUGAGCAUAAAAUUAUACUAAGUGGGACCAUCAGCCCAGAAGAGAAUCCAAUCAACACCCUGCGUUCCCGUGGAUGCUCUUGACAGGGGACAAUAAAAGCUUGGUAGCAUU